CCUACGGGUGGCUGCAGUGGGGAAUAUUGGACAAUGGGUGAAAGCCUGAUCCAGCCAUGCCGCGUGUGUGAAGAAGGCCUUCGGGUUGUAAAGCACUUUCAGUGGGGAAGAAAGCCUUGGGGCUAAUACCCUCGAGGAAGGACAUCACCCACAGAAGAAGCACCGGCUAACUCCGUGCCAGCAGCCGCGGUAAUACGGAGGGUGCGAGCGUUAAUCGGAAUUACUGGGCGUAAAGCGCGCGUAGGCGGUCUGAUAAGCCGGUUGUGAAAGCCCCGGGCUCAACCUGGGAACGGCAUCCGGAACUGUCAGGCUAGAGUGCAGGAGAGGAAGGUAGAAUUCCCGGUGUAGCGGUGAAAUGCGUAGAGAUCGGGAGGAAUACCAGUGGCGAAGGCGGCCUUCUGGACUGACACUGACGCUGAGGUGCGAAAGCGUGGGUAGCAAACAGGAUUAGAUACCCCGGGUAGUC
rnacentral:rRNA from 1 species